AUGUGCAGGCUGGAGGACACUGUGGAAAGUGCUGGGUGUGGGGGGAGUGGAACAGGACGCCUGGGGAUCUGCUCCUGUGGUCCCCUUCCUUUGCCCACCAGUCCCCUGCCCCCGCAGAAAGGGGGCUGUCUUUCUAACACAGUCACCGGCUGUCACCAAGGGCAGGGCUGCCUCAGAUAUGAAGGGGAAGCCCUGUCCCUUAGGUUGUCCUUGUGUGUGCCAUCUGUCCCUGUGAAAUCGGUGUGUGCCGUCUGUGAUGCCACCAGCCUGGACUUCCCCGAGACCUCCAGACGCAGAAAACCCCGGCCCUGGCACCAGUUCAUUCCUGCUCUAGCCUCAGCUCGAUGCUACCCUCUUGGAGGACACCUCCCGAAGCGCCUGUGUAAAGGAGCUGUCUCCCUCUCCGGCAUCCAUGAUGGCAUCUUGGUUUGUCUCCUUCCUUCUGUCAUUGGCGAACUGCCGUUGCCUUGCUUAUUCAUUUGAGACUUGAAUGUAAGUUUCAGAGAGACCUUCUCAUUUGUGCCCCUUUCCUUUCC
rnacentral:lncRNA from 1 species